rnacentral:lncRNA from 1 species
UGUGUUCUUCUUCUCCAUAAAAUACACCAGAAUCCAACUCUAAUUUAAUCCAAGUUCAGGCUAGUGAAUCUCAAACCCAUAACCACACGGCCCUCAUUCUCUCAUCUUUCCAUUUCUAACGGUCUCUGGCGAAAGAUUCUUCCUACUCGCUCGAUUUGAGCCUUAUCUCUGAUUGGAGGCUUCUGGAAAGGAUUUGCUGGAUGAGUGUGAGGUGUUGGAUUGAUUUAACUUACUCCAAGCCCCACAUUAAUCAUGAAUUCAUUCUCAAAAGAAGCUCUAUCCAAUUUUGAAGGGGCUCAGCUAAAAUAUAUUAGAGAAAAGGGGUCGAAAGGUUUUCUGUGAACAAAAUUAAUCUUCUGAGUUGAUUUUCUUCGAGGUCAUUAAAGUUUAAGAAAGACAUAGAAACAUUUUUUUUCUUCUUAUUUUGAAUUCGGAUUUGAGUUCC